rnacentral:rRNA from 1 species
GGAACGAACGCUGGCGGCAGGCUUAACACAUGCAAGUCGAACGGGCGUAGCAAUACGUCAGUGGCAGACGGGUGAGUAACACGUGGGAACCUUCCUAGGGGUACGGAACAACUCAGGGAAACUUGAGCUAAUACCGUAUACGUCCGUGAGGAGAAAGAUUCAUCGCCCCUAGACGGGCCCGCGUCGGAUUAGGUAGUUGGUGGGGUAACGGCCUACCAAGCCUACGAUCCGUAGCUGAUCUGAGAGGAUGAUCAGCCACACUGGGACUGAGACACGGCCCAGACUCCUACGGGAGGCAGCAGUGGGGAAUAUUGCACAAUGGGCGAAAGCCUGAUGCAGCAACGCCGCGUGCGGGAUGACGGCCUUCGGGUUGUAAACCGCUUUCACCCAUGACGAAGCGUGAGUGACGGUAGUGGGAGAAGAAGGACCGGCCAACGUACGUGCCAGCAGCCGC